rnacentral:lncRNA from 1 species
GUAGUACUAGGAUGGGUGACCUCCCGGGAAGUCCUCGUGUUGCACCCCUUUUUAUUUUUUAAUUUUUUUUAGCCUAAAACGAGUCUAAACUUGAAAACCUCAUAACUUUUGAACCGUGAGGAACUACGUCGCCCAUAGCACCAUUUCGGAGAGCCCCAGAAACCAUAAUGGGCGGUGAAUAGGGGGCGCAAUUUUUCGGGCUCAAAUUCAGCCGUUUUGACCCUCAAACGGGCUGCGGAAAGUUAUGGCACGUAAAAAAGAUCGAAAGCGGAUUCUCAAGGUGUUUUUGAUGCUUUCUUAACGCCGUUAACCUCGAUGCACUUUUUCGCUCGAAACAAAACGGCAAGAAAAUCAUGCGCGCCCACGGCCUUACACUUGGAUUGGCCGCGAAAAGGAUAUAUAGAAACGAGAGUGAUGUACUGACGGGUGCGAUCAUACCAGCACUAAUGCACCGGAUCCCAUCAGAACUCCGCAGUAAGCGUGCUUGGGCGAGAGUAGUACUAGGAUGGGUGACCUCCCGGGAAGUCCUCGUGUUGCACCCCUUUUUAUUUUUUAAUUUUUUUUUAGCCUAAAACGAGUCUAAACUUGAAAACCUCAUAACUUUUGAACCGUGAGGAACUACGUCGCCCAUAGCACCAUUUCGGAGAGCCCCAGAAACCAUAAUGGGCGGUGAAUAGGGGGCGCAAUUUUUCGGGCUCAAAUUCAGCCGUUUUGACCCUCAAACGGGCUGCGGAAAGUUAUGGCACGUAAAAAAGAUCGAAAGCGGAUUCUCAAGGUGUUUUUGAUGCUUUCUUAACGCCGUUAACCUCGAUGCACUUUUUCGCUCGAAACAAAACGGCAAGAAAAUCAUGCGCGCCCCACGGCCUUACACUUGGAUUGGCCGCGAAAAGGAUAUAUAGAAACGAGAGUGAUGUACUGACGGGUGCGAUCAUACCAGCACUAAUGCACCGGAUCCCAUCAGAACUCCGCAGUUAAGCGUGCUUGGGCGAGAGUAGUACUAGGAUGGGUGACCUCCCGGGAAGUCCUCGUGUUGCACCCCUUUUUAUUUUUAAUUUUUUUUUAGCCUAAAACGAGUCUAAACUUGAAAACCUCAUAACUUUUGAACCGUGAGGAACUACGUCGCCCAUAGCACCAUUUCGGAAAGCCCCAGAAACCAUAAUGGGCGGUGAAUAGGGGGCGCAAUUUUUCGGGCUCAAAUUCAGCCGUUUUGACCCUCAAACGGGCUGCGGAAAGUUAUGGCACGUAAAAAAGAUCGAAAGCGGAUUCUCAAGGUGUUUUUGAUGCUUUCUUAACGCCGUUAACCUCGAUGCACUUUUUCGCUCGAAACAAAACGGCAAGAAAAUCAUGCGCGCCCCACGGCCUUACACUUGGAUUGGCCGCGAAAAGGAUAUAUAGAAACGAGAGUGAUGUACUGACGGGUGCGAUCAUACCAGCACUAAUGCACCGGAUCCCAUCAGAACUCCGCAGUUAAGCGUGCUUGGCGCGAGAGUAGUACUAGGAUGGGUGACCUCCCGGGAAGUCCUCGUGUUGCACCCCUUUUUAUUUUUUAAUUUUUUUUUGCCUAAAACGAGUCUAAACUUGAAAACCUCAUAACUUUUGAACCGUGAGGAACUACGUCGCCCAUAGCACCAUUUCGGAGAGCCCCAGAAACCAUAAUGGGCGGUGAAUAGGGGGCGCAAUUUUUCGGGCUCAAAUUCAGCCGUUUUGACCCUCAAACGGGCUGCGGAAAGUUAUGGCACGUAAAAAAGAUCGAAAGCGGAUUCUCAAGGUGUUUUUGAUGCUUUCUUAACGCCGUUAACCUCGAUGCACUUUUUCGCUCGAAACAAAACGGCAAGAAAAUCAUGCGCGCCCACGGCCUUACACUUGGAUUGGCCGCGAAAAGGAUAUAUAGAAACGAGAGUGAUGUACUGACGGGUGCGAUCAUACCAGCACUAAUGCACCGGAUCCCAUCAGAACUCCGCAGUUAAGCGUGCUUGGGCGAGAGUAGUACUAGGAUGGGUGACCUCCCGGGAAGUCCUCGUGUUGCACCCCUUUUAUUUUUUAAUUUUUUUUUGCCUAAAACGAGUCUAAACUUGAAAACCUCAUAACUUUUGAACCGUGAGGAACUACGUCGCCCAUAGCACCAUUUCGGAGAGCCCCAGAAACCAUAAUGGGCGGGUGAAUAGGGGGCGCAAUUUUUCGGGCUCAAAUUCAGCCGUUUUGACCCUCAAACGGGCUGCGGAAAGUUAUGGCACGUAAAAAAGAUCGAAAGCGGAUUCUCAAGGUGUUUUUGAUGCUUUCUUAACGCCGUUAACCUCGAUGCACUUUUUCGCUCGAAACAAAACGGCAAGAAAAUCAUGCGCGCCCCACGGCCUUACACUUGGAUUGGCCGCGAAAAGGAUAUAUAGAAACGAGAGUGAUGUACUGACGGGUGCGAUCAUACCAGCACUAAUGCACCGGAUCCCAUCAGAACUCCGCAGUUAAGCGUGCUUGGGCGAGAGUAGUACUAGGAUGGGUGACCUCCCGGGAAGUCCUCGUGUUGCACCCCUUUUUUUUUAAAUUUUUUUUUAGCCUAAAACGAGUCUAAACUUGAAAACCUCAUAACUUUUGAACCGUGAGGAACUACGUCGCCCAUAGCACCAUUUCGGAGAGCCCCAGAAACCAUAAUGGGCGGGGAAUAGGGGGCGCAAUUUUUCGGGCUCAAAUUCAGCCGUUUUGACCCUCAAACGGGCUGCGGAAAGUUAUGUCACGUAAAAAAGAUCGAAAGCGGAUUCUCAAGGUGUUUUUGAUGCUUUCUUAACGCCGUUAACCUCGAUGCACUUUUUCGCUCGAAACAAAACGGCAAGAAAAUCAUGCGCGCCCCACGGCCUUACACUUGGAUUGGCCGCGAAAAGGAUAUAUAGAAACGAGAGUGAUGUACUGACGGGUGCGAUCAUACCAGCACUAAUGCACCGGAUCCCAUCAGAACUCCGCAGUUAAGCGUGCUUGGGCGAGAGUAGUACUAGGAUGGGUGACCUCCCGGGAAGUCCUCGUGUUGCACCCCUUUUUAUUUUUUAAUUUUUUUUUGCCUAAAACGAGUCUAAACUUGAAAACCUCAUAACUUUUGAACCGUGAGGAACUACGUCGCCCAUAGCACCAUUUCGGAGAGCCCCAGAAACCAUAAUGGGCGGUGAAUAGGGGGCGCAAUUUUUCGGGCUCAAAUUCAGCCGUUUUGACCCUCAAACGGGCUGCGGAAAGUUAUGGCACGUAAAAAAGAUCGAAAGCGGAUUCUCAAGGUGUUUUUGAUGCUUUCUUAACGCCGUUAACCUCGAUGCACUUUUUCGCUCGAAACAAAACGGCAAGAAAAUCAUGCGCGCCCCACGGCCUUACACUUGGAUUGGCCGCGAAAAGGAUAUAUAGAAACGAGAGUGAUGUACUGACGGGUGCGAUCAUACCAGCACUAAUGCACCGGAUCCCAUCAGAACUCCGCAGUUAAGCGUGCUUGGGCGAGAGUAGUACUAGGAUGGGUGACCUCCCGGGAAGUCCUCGUGUUGCACCCCUUUUUUUUUUUAAUUUUUUUUUAGCCUAAAACGAGUCUAAACUUGAAAACCUCAUAACUUUUGAACCGUGAGGAACUACGUCGCCCAUAGCACCAUUUCGGAGAGCCCCAGAAACCAUAAUGGGCGGUGAAUAGGGGGCGCAAUUUUUCGGGCUCAAAUUCAGCCGUUUUGACCCUCAAACGGGCUGCGGAAAGUUAUGGCACGUAAAAAAGAUCGAAAGCGGAUUCUCAAGGUGUUUUUGAUGCUUUCUUAACGCCGUUAACCUCGAUGCACUUUUUCGCUCGAAACAAAACGGCAAGAAAAUCAUGCGCGCCCCACGGCCUUACACUUGGAUUGGCCGCGAAAAGGAUAUAUAGAAACGAGAGUGAUGUACUGACGGGUGCGAUCAUACCAGCACUAAUGCACCGGAUCCCAUCAGAACUCCGCAGUUAAGCGUGCUUGGGCGAGAGUAGUACUAGGAUGGGUGACCUCCCGGGAAGUCCUCGUGUUGCACCCCUUUUUAUUUUUUAAUUUUUUUUUAGCCUAAAACGAGUCUAAACUUGAAAACCUCAUAACUUUUGAACCGUGAGGAACUACGUCGCCCAUAGCACCAUUUCGGAAGCCCAGAAACCAUAAUGGGCGGUGAAUAGGGGGCGCAAUUUUUCGGGCUCAAAUUCAGCCGUUUUGACCCUCAAACGGGCUGCGGAAAGUUAUGGCACGUAAAAAAGAUCGAAAGCGGAUUCUCAAGGUGUUUUUGAUGCUUUCUUAACGCCGUUAACCUCGAUGCACUUUUUCGCUCGAAACAAAACGGCAAGAAAAUCAUGCGCGCCCCACGGCCUUACACUUGGAUUGGCCGCGAAAAGGAUAUAUAGAAACGAGAGUGAUGUACUGACGGGUGCGAUCAUACCAGCACUAAUGCACCGGAUCCCAUCAGAACUCCGCAGUUAAGCGUGCUUGGGCGAGAGUAGUACUAGGAUGGGUGACCUCCCGGGAAGUCCUCGUGUUGCACCCCUUUUUAUUUUUUAAUUUUUUUUUAGCCUAAAACGAGUCUAAACUUGAAAACCUCAUAACUUUUGAACCGUGAGGAACUACGUCGCCCAUAGCACCAUUUCGGAAGCCCCAGAAACCAUAAUGGGCGGUGAAUAGGGGGCGCAAUUUUUCGGGCUCAAAUUCAGCCGUUUUGACCCUCAAACGGGCUGCGGAAAGUUAUGGCACGUAAAAAAGAUCGAAAGCGGAUUCUCAAGGUUGUUUUGAUGCUUUCUUAACGCCGUUAACCUCGAUGCACUUUUUCGCUCGAAACAAAACGGCAAGAAAAUCAUGCGCGCCCCACGGCCUUACACUUGGAUUGGCCGCGAAAAGGAUAUAUAGAAACGAGAGUGAUGUACUGACGGGUGCGAUCAUACCAGCACUAAUGCACCGGAUCCCAUCAGAACUCCGCAGUUAAGCGUGCUUGGGCGAGAGUAGUACUAGGAUGGGUGACCUCCCGGGAAGUCCUCGUGUUGCACCCCUUUUUAUUUUUUAAUUUUUUUUUAGCCUAAAACGAGUCUAAACUUGAAAACCUCAUAACUUUUGAACCGUGAGGAACUACGUCGCCCAUAGCACCAUUUCGGAAGCCCCAGAAACCAUAAUGGGCGGUGAAUAGGGGGCGCAAUUUUUCGGGCUCAAAUUCAGCCGUUUUGACCCUCAAACGGGCUGCGGAAAGUUAUGGCACGUAAAAAAGAUCGAAAGCGGAUUCUCAAGGUGUUUUUGAUGCUUUCUUAACGCCGUUAACCUCGAUGCACUUUUUCGCUCGAAACAAAACGGCAAGAAAAUCAUGCGCGCCCCACGGCCUUACACUUGGAUUGGCCGCGAAAAGGAUAUAUAGAAACGAGAGUGAUGUACUGACGGGUGCGAUCAUACCAGCACUAAUGCACCGGAUCCCAUCAGAACUCCGCAGUUAAGCGUGCUUGGGCGAGAGUAGUACUAGGAUGGGUGACCUCCCGGGAAGUCCUCGUGUUGCACACCUUUUUAUUUUAUAAUUUUUUUUAGCCUAAAACGAGUCUAAACAUGAAAACCUCAUAAAUUUUGAACCGUGAGGAACUACGUCGCCCAUAGCACCAUUGAAAAAGCCCCAGAAACCAUAAUGGGCGGUGAAUAGGGGGCGCAAUGUUUCGGGCUGAAAUUCAGCCGUUUUGACCCUCAAACGGGCUGCGGAAAGUUAUGGCACGUAAAAAAGAUCGAAAGCGGAUUCUCAAGGUGUUUUUGAUGCUUUCUUAACGCCGUUAACCUCGAUGCACUUUUUCGCUCGAAACAAAACGGCAAGAAAAUCAUGCGCGCCCCACGGCCUUACACUUGGAUUGGCCGCGAAAAGGAUAUAUAGAAACGAGAGUGAUGUACUGACGGGUGCGAUCAUACCAGCACUAAUGCACCGGAUCCCAUCAGAACUCCGCAGUUAAGCGUGCUUGGGCGAGAGUAGUACUAGGAUGGGUGACCUCCCGGGAAGUCCUCGUGUUGCACCCCUUUUUAUUUUUUAAUUUUUUUUUAGCCUAAAACGAGUCUAAACUUGAAAACCUCAUAACUUUUGAACCUUGAGGAACUACGUCGCCCAUAGCACCAUUUCGGAAAGCCCCAUAAAACCAUAAUGGGCGGUGAAUAGGGGGCGCAAUUUUUCGGGCUCAAAUUCAGCCGUUUUGACCCUCAAACGGGCUGCGGAAAGUUAUGGCACGUAAAAAAGAUCGAAAGCGGAUUUUCAAGGUGUUUUUGAUGCUUUCUUAACGCCGUUAACCUCGAUGCACUUUUUCGCUCGAAACAAAACGGCAAGAAAAUCAUGCGCGCCCCACGGCCUUACACUUGGAUUGGCCGCGAAAAGGAUAUAUAGAAACGAGAGUGAUGUA